GGACAGGUCAUCCAUGACACCUUUCACAAUCCAGUCUGAUUUUGGAAGCUAAGCAGGGUUGGGCCUGGUUAGUAUUUGGAUGGGAGACCUUUCACAGUCCAUAAUUCCAAGAAUU
rnacentral:rRNA from 1 species